rnacentral:rRNA from 1 species
CCGAAGUUAAGCGUGCUUGGGCGAGAGUAGUACUAGGAUGGGUGACCUCCUGGGAAGUCCUCGCGUUGCACCCCUGGG